GCGUCCGCCGCUGCUCUGUGGGGAAUUCCUGCUCGGGGGUGGGCGUGAGGCCCCGGCGGGCGUGUGGCGGUCGGGAGCGGCGGGGCCGGGCCCCGGAGCGAUGGCGUGAGAAAAGAAAACAGCAGCAGCAACAACAACAAAAAC